UACGCAGGUGUGAUUGUGCGACGGUUGUGUUGUUGUGUUGUGGUUCUUGCUACUUUUCAGUAUGUUAUUAAUAAAUAAGUGAGCAGGAUUGUGGGUGAGACUGCGGUUGAAAGUGUGGUUAUUAUUUCAGCUAAAGGACAAUAAGGUCGGUUCCUCAGACCGGCUCAGGGACUUCACUCAUUAAAGAACCUGGAUUUCUGUAAAGCCGCUUUGUGUUGCUUCAUCACGGAGAUGGGAGGAGAACACACACCGAAUUGAGGCAUCUUGGGAAAUCACACAAGCAUAUCUGUGAUCAAGAAGGAACCCAUGUGAGGGUCACAGGUGAAGCUGGAGCCAAUCCCAACUGACUUCAGGUGAGGGGCGGGGUUCAUCCUAGGUGGGUCACUAAUCUAUCACAAGGCUACACAGAGAAGAACAUCCAUCACACACACACACACACACACCUCUGGGGGAUUUAGAGUCACCAAUUGAUGAACCCAUGUGUUUGGACUGUGGGAGGAAACCCGAGACCCGGAGGAAACCCACACAGACACGAAGAGAACAUGAGAACUCCACACAGAAAGACCCCAGUCAACUGAGAGGUUUGAACCCAGAACCUUCUUGAUGUGAUGUGACAGUGAUAACCACUGCCCCACCCUGCCACACCCUAAAACAAUAUCA